UUAUACUCAGUUCAGACAAGACAGAUAUUUAUUAAUGCAUGUCCUUUCCAGAUGUAUGCACACAUUCUGAGACAUCCACAUAUCAGAGAUCUUUCAACCUUGGCAGGAGCUCAUGUCCAAAGAUCUGUCCCAUUUAUGAAGAACUGCCAUUUCAAAUGCAGGAGAGUGUUGUUUACUAGUUACACUAGGAUGAAUUAUAUAAACAAUGACCAUGGAUGGACCUGCUGGCUGGGUGUGUUGGGGAUUAUAAUCCAACCAAUCAGGAGACAACCAGGUUGAGGAAUGCUGAUGUAGACACUCUUGAGCUAAAUGGCUGCACUUUUGAGGCCAUUAUCUACAUGCUGUAUCAAGGUUAUUCUGGUUCAUUUUAGUGGGCUGCUAGGAGUGGCGAGAGUAGAGGCCAUAUGAGGCCAUUAGGAAUAUCUUGAGUUUAAAAAAUAUUCAUAUUCCAAUUGAUACAUCCCUUGUAUAUAGAAUGUAUAUACUAUAUGUAGGAAAAGAUUAACUGCUAUAUUUGUUAUUGUUAUAUUCUUUUGCACUAUCAUCAUUGUAAUGAUCUUUCUGAGCAAAAAUGUAUUAUUAGUGAUGCUUCCCGAUGCUAUUCCCACUACUGACUUUGCCAAGACAUUAUAAUGUCCUGAUAUAAACUGAUAUUUUUUCUGAUGCAAAUGACCUUAUGCAAAUGAGCCUAAUUUCCACUGGAACUUUUUCUGUAAACUUCUUCAUGUUCCAGCGACCCCAUAUCACUGGCUAUGUCUUUAAGUUUAGGAGGUCUGGGUAGCAGACACCACUGGGGUAUGUGUGCUUCUGAGUCAAGAACAGAGUCAUGGAAUCAAGAAUAGAAACUGACAGAUACAAAUCUUAAGGAAGCAAUCUGACUGGGGCACUCAUAAGCCCCAAAUUUAGAGGCUUACAGGCAGACUGCUUGGAAUCUUUAACUACUAUUCUGACUUCCAUUCAUGGAAGAAACGUGGGAUAUAAUAAACAAGUAGGACCCCAAAAAACUGAUGCCACAUGAAAUGCUCCUGUUCGGGAAUUCAUCCAUUUGCUUUUCUAGAGGACUUCAUGCCAGAAGACAGCCAGCCAGCAUUCCAAGAUUGCAGAGCAUGCUCAGUCCCCUCUAAGCUUUACUUUCCAUGUUUCCCCACCCCAUCACAUCUAAUACCUCCUUCUUAUGUGUUGAUGGUGCGAUUUGGGCAGCAUACAGACCAGUAAAUGUGUUUGCUUUAGUAUAAUAGUGUCCAGAGCGUUGUGUGUGUGUGUGUGUGUGUGUGUGUGUGUGUGUGUGUACUUGCAUAGGAUGCUUGCUUUCAUCAUGCCACCACUUUGCCUUUCAUGGUCCAGACAAUAUAGUCUUCUACUUACAGCCCACCUAUGUUUUCCCUUCUAUUUCUUCUUCUUUUCACUCCUCCCCCGCAAAAAAACACCAAAAACCCUUGUUAAGGAGGAAAAUACAGAGUAGCUGUACAACAACUUGGGAUGUACUAGGACUAAACGCUCACUCACACUCCUGCAUGCGUAGGUGUGUGAUCAGGAUGUUUUUAUCAGGACAGCAAGAGCAUGGCCGUUGGCUACCCAAUGAGAAGGAGGUGGAUAGAAGUCAGUAUUCACCCUCCCAUCCCAUUUGUCUUGACUCAGGAGCAAGAGCCACUGAGAUCAGCGGAGAUUACUUCGGGCUGCGGCGGUGUGCAUGUGCUGCUGGAAGGGGAAUGUGCUGGCUACCUGUGCUGGCGGGGCUCUUGCUGCUAAGGGAGGCGUGCAGGUGCGAGGUGCUGCCAGAUGGACUCCUCUCCCCUUAGAAAGGGCAUUAAUUGCACUAAGCAAUGGCAAUGGAGGCUGUGAGGCAAAGCAAGGCAAGACGGAUGCCUAGCGGGGUGUCCCCGUGUUGCAAGGCAAAUGUGGGUGCUGCAGAGGUUGCCUGAAGGUUGCCGGAGGAUUUAGGGGUGCUGUUCGCUCUUUGCAAUGGUUCUGGGCAGGUGACCCGCCUCCCCCAGCCAAUGUACGUGUUAGCAUGUGAGGAAGUCGGAGGGGAGCGAGGGCGGCUCUUGUGGGCGCUCCCAGCUGGCGCGUGAAACAGCGUUUCUCCCUGGCGGGGAGGUGCAAGGCUCUGCAGCAGCGGCAGAAAAAAGCGAAAAAACCAGCAGAUCAGACAUGAGAAGACAUCAUUUUGUGAUAAGUAUGCCAAAACUUCUUGGAGAGAACCAGAAAGAAAACAAGAACCUUAAAGUUGGCAAGAUGUCCUGUAAUACAGAAGAAUGAGGAGAUGGAAGAUCAGCAGGAGUUACAAUCCUGCAACAUGUGGAGGGCUUCCUGUGUGUCCACCCCUACCCUCCUUAAGCAAAGUAGCCUCUUGUUUUAGUCUAAUGCUCUGAUGUAAUAUUUUAAUUUUGAUGUAUCAUGUUUUUACAUUUUCACUAUGUUAUUAAUGUGUUUUGACUGCUGA